GACGAACGCUGGCGGCGUGCUUAACACAUGCAAGUCGAACGGAAAGGCCCUGCUUUUGUGGAGUGCUCGAGUGGCGAACGGGUGAGUAACACGUGAGUAACCUGCCCUUGACUUUGGGAUAACUUCAGGAAACUGGGGCUAAUACCGGAUAGGAGCUCCUGCUGCAUGGUGGGGGUUGGAAAGUUUCGGCGGUUGGGGAUGGACUCGCGGCUUAUCAGCUUGUUGGUGGGGUAGUGGCUUACCAAGGCUUUGACGGGUAGCCGGCCUGAGAGGGUGACCGGCCACAUUGGGACUGAGAUACGGCCCAGACUCCUACGGGAGGCAGCAGUGGGGAAUAUUGCACAAUGGGCGGAAGCCUGAUGCAGCAACGCCGCGUGCGGGAUGACGGCCUUCGGGUUGUAAACCGCUUUCGCCUGUGACGAAGCGUGAGCGACGGUAAUGGGUAAAGAAGCACCGGCUAACUACGUG
rnacentral:rRNA from 1 species